rnacentral:rRNA from 1 species
CCUACGGGUGGCUGCAGUGAGGAAUAUUGGUCAAUGGACGGAAGUCUGAACCAGCCAUGCCGCGUGCAGGAAGACGGCUCUAUGAGUUGUAAACUGCUUUUGUACAAGGGUAAACCUGAAUACGUGUAUUCAGCUGAAAGUCCUGUGCGAAUAUGGCUCGGCAAACUCCGUGCCAGAAGCCGCGGUAAUACGGGGGAUCCAAGCGUUAUACGGAUUUAUUGGGUUUAAAGGGUGCGUAGGCGGAUUGAUAAGUUAGAGGUGAACUGUCCGGGCGUAACUCGGGAACUGCCUCUAAUACUGUUGAUCUAGAGAGUAGAUGCGGUAGGCGGAAUGUAUGGUGUAGCGGUGAAAUGCUUAGAUAUCAUACAGAACACCGAUUGCGAAGGCAGCUUACCAAUCUAUAUCUGACGUUGAGGCACGAAAGCGUGGGGAGCAAACAGGAUUAGAUACCCGAGUAGUC